rnacentral:rRNA from 1 species
CUGGGUUUGACAUGGCCGCAAAACUGUCAGAGAUGGCAGGUCCUUCGGGGGCGGUCACAGGUGGUGCAUGGCUGUCGUCAGCUCGUGUCGUGAGAUGUUGGGUUAAGUCCCGCAACGAGCGCAACCCUCGUCCCAUGUUGCCAGCAUUUGGUUGGGGACUCAUGGGAGACUGCCGGGGUCAACUCGGAGGAAGGUGGGGAUGACGUCAAGUCAUCAUGCCCCUUAUGUCCAGGGCUUCACGCAUGCUACAAUGGCCGGUACAAACCGUUGCGAGCCCGUGAGGGGGAGCGAAUCGGAAAAAGCCGGUCUCAGUUCGGAUCGGGGUCUGCAACUCGACCCCGUGAAGUCGGAGUCGCUAGUAAUCGCAGAUCAGCAACGCUGCGGUGAAUA